rnacentral:rRNA from 1 species
AAGCAAGAGGGAGCUAAGCGUCAAGCACGAAGUGCUUCACGCGUAUAAAAGCUUGCUAACACAAGAGAGCGAUUAGUGGAGGGACUUACUGAGUGGCGGACGGGUGAGUAACGCGUGAGCAAUCUGGCCUGUACAGGGGGACAACAGCUGGAAACGGCUGCUAAUACCGCAUAAGACCACAGCACCACAUGGUGCAGGGGUCAAAGAUUUAUCGGUACAGGAUGAGCUCGCGUCCCAUUAGCUAGUUGGUAGGGUAAAGGCCUACCAAGGCGACGAUGGGUAGCCGACCUGAGAGGGUGAUCGGCCACACUGGGACUGAGACACGGCCCAGACUCCUACGGGAGGCAGCAGUGGGGAAUAUUGCGCAAUGGACGGAAGUCUGACGCAGCGACGCCGCGUGAGCGAUGAAGGUCUUCGGAUCGUAAAGCUCUGUCCUUGGGGAAGAAGGCGAAAGCUUGACGGUACCCAAGAAGAAAGCCCCGGCUAACUACGUG